rnacentral:rRNA from 1 species
AGGACGAACGCUGGCGGCGUGCUUAACACAUGCAAGUCGAGCGGAAAGGCCCUUCGGGGUACUCGAGCGGCGAACGGGUGAGUAACACGUGAGUAAUCUGCCCCUAGCUCUGGGAUAGCUCCGGGAAACCGGGAUUAAUACCGAAUAUGACCACUUUAGACAUCUGCUGUGGUGGAAAGAAUUUCGGCUAGGGAUGAGCUCGCGGCCUAUCAGCUUGUUGGUGGGGUAACGGCCUACCAAGGCGACGACGGGUA